rnacentral:miRNA from 1 species
UUGGAUGAUGGGUUAUUUAACC